UCUUGGGCUUCAUGUGGUCUGGGAAUUGUUUCUUGGGUAUUCCAAGAUUUUGGGCUAAUAUCCACUGAUCAGUGAGUGCAUACCAUGUGUGUUUUUCUGUGAUUGGGUUACCUCACUCAGGAUGGUAUUUUCUAGUUCAUUCCACUUGCCUGUGAAUUUCAUAAAGUCAUUGUUUUUGAUAGCUGAGUAGUACACCAUUGUGUAAAUGUACCACAUUUUCUGUAUCCAUUCCUCUGUUGAAAGGCAUCUGGGCUCUUUCCAGCUUCUGGCUAUUAUAAAUAAGGCUGCUAUGAACAUAGCGGAGCGUGUGUCUUUGUUAUAUGUUGGGGCACCUUUUGGGUAUAUGCCCAAGAGAGGUAUAGCUGGGCCCUCAGGUAGUACAAUGUCCAAUUUUCUGAGGAACCUCCAGACUGAUUUCCAGAGAGGUUGUACCAGUCUGCAAUCCCACCACCAAUGGAGGAGUGUUCCUCUUUCUCCACACCCUUGCCAGCAUCUGCUGUCGCCUGAGUUUUUGAACUUAGCCAUUCUGACUGGAGUGAGGUAAAAUCUCAGGGUUGUUUUGAUUUGCAUUUCCCUGAUGACUUAGAAUGUUGAACAUUUCUUUAGGUGCUUCUAGGUCAUUCGAUGUUCCUCAGCUGAGAAUUCUGUUUAGCUCUGUACUCCAUUUUUUCAU
rnacentral:lncRNA from 1 species